rnacentral:sRNA from 2 species
AUAUAGCCCCGAUGGGAGCGGCAUCCUUUUUUGCCGGGGUUCGGCAGAAAAGAUAUAGUGGACAGCGGGACGGGUG